rnacentral:rRNA from 1 species
AGUGAACGCUGGCGGUAGGCCUAACACAUGCAAGUCGAACGGCAGCACCGUAAGAGCUUGCUCUUACGGGUGGCGAGUGGCGGACGGGUGAGGAAUACAUCGGAAUCUACUCUUUCGUGGGGGAUCACGUAGGGAAACUUACGCUAAUAUCGCAUACGACCUACGGGUGAAAGCAGGGGAUCUUCGGACCUUGCGCGAUUGAAUGAGCCGAUGUCGGAUUAGCUAGUUGGCGGGGUAAAGGCCCACCAAGGCGACGAUCCGUAGCUGGUCUGAGAGGAUGGUCAGCCACACUGGAAGUGAGACACGGUCCAGACUCCUACGGGAGGCAGCAGUGGGGAAUAGUGGACAAUGGGCGCAAGCCUGAUCCAGCCAUACCGCGUGGGUGAAGAAGGCCUUCGGGUUGUAAAGCCCUUUUGUUGGGAAAGAAAAGCAGCAGGUUAAUACCCCGCUGUUCUGACGGUACCCAAAGAAUAAGCACCGGCUAACUUCGUG